rnacentral:rRNA from 1 species
CAUGCAAGUCGAACGAAGUAGCAAUACUUAGUGGCAGACGGGUGAGUAACAUGUGGGUAUCUGCCCUUUGGCCUGGAAUAACACGAGGAAACUUGUGCUAAUACCGGAUAAGUCUUUACGGAGAAAGCUUUAUGCACCAUUGGAUGAGCCCGCACUUGAUUAGUUUGUUGGUGGGGUAAUGGCCUACCAAGACUGUGAUCAAUAGCUGAUUUGAGAGGAUGAUCAGCCACAUUGGGACUGAGACACGGCCCAAACUCCUACGGGAGGCAGCAGUGGGGAAUCUUGCACAAUGGAGGAAACUCUGAUGCAGCGAUGCCGCGUGAGUGAAGAAGGCCCUUGGGUUGUAAAGCUCUUUCGUCGGGGAAGAAAAUGACUGUACCCGAAUAAGAAGGUCCGGCUAACUUCGUGCCAGCAGCCGCGGUAAUACGAAGGGACCUAGCGUAGUUCGGAAUUACUGGGCUUAAAGAGUUCGUAGGUGGUUGAAAAAGUUGGUGGUGAAAUCCCAGAGCUUAACUCUGGAACUGCCAUCAAAACUUUUCAGCUAGAGUAUGAUAGAGGAAAGCAGAAUUUCUAGUGUAGAGGUGAAAUUCGUAGAUAUUA